CCUACGGGAGGCUGCAGUGGGGAAUAUUGCACAAUGGGCGCAAGCCUGAUGCAGCCAUGCCGCGUGUGUGAAGAAGGCCUUCGGGUUGUAAAGCACUUUCAGCGGGGAGGAAGGCGGUGAGGUUAAUAACCUCAUCGAUUGACGUUACCCGCAGAAGAAGCACCGGCUAACUCCGUGCCAGCAGCCGCGGUAAUACGGAGGGUGCAAGCGUUAAUCGGAAUUACUGGGCGGAAAGCGCACGCAGGCGGUCUGUCAAGUCGGAUGUGAAAUCCCCGGGCUCAACCUGGGAACUGCAUUCGAAACUGGCAGGCUAGAGUCUUGUAGAGGGGGGUAGAAUUCCAGGUGUAGCGGUGAAAUGCGUAGAGAUCUGGAGGAAUACCGGUGGCGAAGGCGGCCCCCUGGACAAAGACUGACGCUCAGGUGCGAAAGCGUGGGGAGCAAACAGGAUUAGAUACCCGAGUAGUC
rnacentral:rRNA from 1 species